AUUGAACGCUGGCGGCAUGCCUUACACAUGCAAGUCGAACGGUAACGGGCCUUCGGGUGCCGAUGAGUGGCGAACGGGUGAGUAAUGUAUCGGAACGUACCUUUCAGUGGGGGAUAACGUAGCGAAAGUUACGCUAAUACCGCAUAUUCUGUGAGCAGGAAAGCAGGGGAUCGCAAGACCUUGCGCUGAUUGAGCGGCCGAUAUCAGAUUAGCUAGUUGGUGAGGUAAAGGCUCACCAAGGCGAGGAUCUGUAGCGGGUCUGAGAGGAUGAUCCGCCACACUGGAACUGAGACACGGUCCAGACUCCUACGGGGGGCAGCAGUGGGGAAUUUUGGACAAUGGGUGCAACCCUGAUCCAGCCAUGCCGCGUGAGUGAAGAAGGCCUUCGGGUUGUAAAGCUCUUUCGGCCGGGAAGAAAUCGUACGGGUUAAUACCCUGUGCGGAUGACGGUACCGGCAUAAGAAGCACCGGCUAACUACGUGCCAGCCGCCGCAGUAAAAC
rnacentral:rRNA from 1 species